GAUGAACGCUAGCGGCAGGCUUAACACAUGCAAGUCGAGGGGCAGCACGGGUAGCAAUACCUGGUGGCGACCGGCAAACGGGUGCGGAACACGUACAGAACCUACCUUUGUCUGGGGCAUAGCCCGGAGAAAUCCGGAUUAACUCCCCAUAAUAUAGAUGAGUGGCAUCACUUGACUAUUAAAAAUUUAUUGGACAGAGAUGGCUGUGCGUCCCAUUAGCUAGUUGGUAGGUAACGGCCUACCAAGGCAACGAUGGGUAGCUGGUGUGAGAGCACGACCAGCCACACGGGCACUGAGACACGGGCCCGACUCCUACGGGAGGCAGCAGUGAGGAAUAUUGGUCAAUGGACGCAAGUCUGAACCAGCCAUGCCGCGUGAAGGAUGA
rnacentral:rRNA from 1 species